ensembl:lncRNA
CUCCAGUAAUCAUAAGCAACCAUCCCAGUUUACCAUUAGGCAUCCCAGGGUCCGGGCUUCCUCCAGAGAAGGGGAAGGGACUCUCUUUUGUCUCCUGGGAAAUGUCCCUGGGGAUAAGAACCUAACUUUGUGUGAGUGAUGUAUAUGAGAUACCUGCCGGUGUCUACAGGACUCAGCAAUGGCAGGAAGAACAGAGAGGUGGGCGUGGCCCAGAGACAAGGAGAGUAAGAAGCCAGGUCACAGAGGACAAGUCAGAGCCCUCUGUCCCAGACAGGAAGCUGAAUCUCUUCAUUCCCAUCCAUUGCGUACUUUCUGGUGCUCUGUGGGAAGCCAUGGAAAGUGCAUUUUUUUUUCCAUAAGAAAAAAGGGAAAUCGGAUAUCUGGUCCAAGGUCACGAAGCUCCCAGGUGACGAACUAUGGUUUUGACCCAGGACAUUUAAGGCCUCUGAGCCCUCUAUCGUGUCACUAUGGUAUUCUGGAAAUAAAGACACAGCAAGAUCUCGAUACUCCUGUCUCGGACCGACUCAGUUCCCUGCCUUUGUCCUUGGGAGUUUUACCUGAGGACGUUAUAAACCAGAGGGGUUAAUUCCAAUCAGAUGUGGGCAUUUCUCACCCAUCAAAAAUGCAGAGAACAGCAAAUUCUUGUUUGCUUUUUCUUCCAGUCCUACUGUGCAUUCGCUCACGCAUCCAUCCAUCCAUUCAUCCAGUGCCUUGGUUUCAGGUACGGUCCUUGUGUGACCCAGAACAAGCGACAAAUUGCUCCUCUGAGAGCCCCAGCUUCCUCAUCUGGGAACCACAACGAAUCCAGCUUCAUAGGGCCAUUGUGAGAUGUGUGGAUGUAGGAAACAAAAAUAUUUGAGAACCAAAGAGUAGACCAAUUUCCGGGUAGACUUGCAGAUCGGGUAUAUGACGUCACUUUCUGUACCCGCUCCCUACCUCUGCAGCUUCUGUUCACAAAAUGUUUCCUCCCAGGUGAGACGACUUAGUCAGUACUCAGUAUCUCAGCAUAGUAGGACCUCUCUGUCCCAAAACCUAUGGCAAAGUCCACGGGCUCAAGCCCCAUUGGACUAACUUGGGUCACAUAUGCUUAUCCUUCAACCAAUCCUUGGGGUCUUGAGUAGUGAGAAACAAGCUGAUUGGCCAGACUCAGUCUUUGGUGUAGAAGUGGGAGGAGACUGUAGAUCUUGAUAGAAGAAGCAGAAUGGGCGCCUGGCGGCAGUGUGAUGCCUCUCAGGUAUGUACUAGAUAGGAGGACUUACUUCCAAGUGAUUUAUUAGGAAGUCCUUAUGGGGUGGCUUGGCAUUCAAGAAACCCUAGAUUCCACCCCAAGCACUGCCGAAAACCAAGCAGGGAUGGUACAUGCCUAUUCAUCCCAGCGCUUAGGAGGUGGAGGCAGGAGGAUUAGAAGCUCAUGGUUAACCUUGGCCACAUAGAAAGUUGGAGCCUGCCUGGACUAUAUCUGUGCUAUAUGGGAAUAUGAGGCUCAUAUUCUCUCUCUCUCUCUCUCUCUCUCUCUCUCUCUCUCUCUCUCUCUCCCUCCCUCCCUCUCUCCCCCCCACCCCCCACGCUCUUAUAAGAAAAAUAGG